rnacentral:lncRNA from 1 species
CGGAGCGACUGCUGAGGGACACCGCGGCGAGCGAGCGUGGGUGAAGGAGCUGAGGGUGUGAGCAGGGCUGCAGCGGGCAGGUCCAAGGUUGAAGAUGGUGGAUACACUGGCUCAGAAAAUGUGAGGUUGUGUCUCAGCAAUGGAGCGAUGAGUGUCUAUUGAGUUAAGGGCAGAAGGUAUUUGUGAGCCCUGUGGACUUUCUCUCAUAAGAGCAAUCAUCCCAUCUAUGAGGGCUCCAUCUUCAUGACCUCCUGAUCUUUCACAGGCCCCGUAUACUAACGCCAUCACUUCUGUGGAUUAGGAUUUCAACAUAUGGAUUCUGAGGAGACACAAACAUUUACGUCAUAGCAGUGGGAAUCCAGUUUUAUUCUUUAUCUGUGGCUAAU